UACGGAGGGUGCGAGCGUUAAUCGGAAUUACUGGGCGUAAAGCGUCCGCAGGUGGCAAUGUAAGUCUGCUGUCAAAGCGUCUGGCUCAACCAGAUAAAGGCAGUGGAAACUACAUAGCUAGAGUAAGGUAGGGGUAGAGGGAAUUCCUGGUGUAGCGGUGAAAUGCGUAGAGAUCAGGAAGAACACCGGUGGCGAAAGCGCUCUGCUGGACCUUAACUGACACUGAGGGACGAAAGCUAGGGGAGCGAAUGGG
rnacentral:rRNA from 1 species